rnacentral:lncRNA from 1 species
AAAGCGUGUCUUGAUUUGAAAGAUCUGAAGUCUGAAUGGCAAUCUGAGGCCUCUUACAUCCAUCUCUUGCUGUUCCAUGGGACCCUGAUGGUGGCCUGACUUAUGUACCUGGUUGUGCAUGUGACUAAAAUUGGUACUGAGACGAAUCAUGUGCCACUCUGUCUCUUGAGAUUCUUUUGAAGAUGGGCUGACUGAACUGGUAUCUGACACUCAAAAUGUGGUGAAGCUGGGUGGUGUGUCGAAACAAACUGGAGUCUCGUUGGCAUUGCCCAGUUGGCUCAGCAAGUAAUUGUGAUCUCUGCAUAACCCAGUCACAUACUGCAGGAAUGCAUUGAUUUUUCGAGUUGGAAAGUAGGU